rnacentral:rRNA from 1 species
CCUACGGGAGGCUGCAGUGGGGAAUAUUGCACAAUGGGCGCAAGCCUGAUGCAGCCAUGCCGCGUGUGUGAAGAAGGCCUUCGGGUUGUAAAGCACUCUCAGCGGGGAGGAAGGCGGUGAGGUUAAUAACCUCAUCGAUUGACGUUACCCGCAGAAGAAGCACCGGCUAACUCCGUGCCAGCAGCCGCGGUAAUACGGAGGGUGCAAGCGUUAAUCGGAAUUACUGGGCGUAAAGCGCACGCAGGCGGUCUGUCAAGUCGGAUGUGAAAUCCCCGGGCUCAACCUGGGAACUGCAUUCGAAACUGGCAGGCCAGAGUCUUGUAGAGGGGGGUAGAAUUCCAGGUGUAGCGGUGAAAUGCGUAGAGAUCUGGAGGAAUACCGGUGGCGAAGGCGGCCCCCUGGACAAAGACUGACGCUCAGGUGCGAAAGCGUGGGGAGCAAACAGGAUUAGAUACCCUAGUAGUC